CAAAGAUUUAUCGCUGGAAGAUGGCCUCGCGUCUGAUUAGCUAGUUGGUGAGGUAACGGCCCACCAAGGCGACGAUCAGUAGCCGGACUGAGAGGUUGGCCGGCCACAUUGGGACUGAGAUACGGCCCAGACUCCUACGGGAGGCAGCAGUGGGGAAUAUUGGGCAAUGGACGCAAGUCUGACCCAGCAACGCCGCGUGAAGGAAGAAGGCUUUCGGGUUGUAAACUUCUUUUAAGGGGGAAGAGCGGAAGACGGUACCCCUUGAAUAAGCCACGGCUAACUACGUGCCAGCAGCCGCGGUAAUACGUAGGUGGCAAGCGUUGUCGGGAUUUACUGGGUGUAAAGGGCGUGCAGCCGGAGAGACAAGUCAGAUGUGAAAUCCACGGGCUCAACCCGUGAACUGCAUUUGAAACUGUUUCCCUUGAGUGUCGGAGAGGUGAUCGGAAUUCCUUGUGUAGCGGUGAAAUGCGUAGAUAUAAGGAAGAACACCAGUGGCGAAGGCGGAUUACUGGACGAUAACUGACGGUGAGGCGCGAAAGCGUGGGGAGCAAACAGGAUUAGAUACCCUGGUAGUCCACGCUGUA
rnacentral:rRNA from 1 species